UGCUUCUACCUCCUAAGUGCUGGAAAUAAAGGUAUAUGUAGCCACACCUGGCCUUAAAAUUAUUCCUUUUAUUUUUAAUUGUGUAUGUGUAUCUAAACAUGUGCACGUGGAUACAGGUACAUGGAUACUUCCUGUGGCUGUAGUUACAUGUUGUUCUGAGCUGGGUACUGGAAACACAGUCUGAACCACAGACCUAUCUUUCCAGCCCCCCACAGUUGAAAUCUUUUUAAAUGUGGAAGGCCCUAAUGUUGAAGGAUCAAAGGGCAUAGAGGAUUUUGAUAACUUGUCGAUGAAAUAAGAUGGAAUAAGACAAAUGGUACUAUCUUACUUUAUUCUCCUUUAGAAACUGCUUAUGUGUGACUGGAUUACUGUGCAGCCACAUUAAAUGAGAGAUCUUUUAGGGGAUUUUAGUCUUUUUUUUUUUUUUUUUUGGUUUUUUUCAAGACAGGGUUUCUCUGUGUAGCCCUGGCUGUCCUGGCACUCACUUUGUAGACCAGGCUGGCCUCGAACUCAGAAAUCCGCCUGCCUCUGCCUCCCGAGUGCUGGGAUUAAAGGCAUGCGCCACCACACCCUGCUCAACAUGUAGUCUUAUAUAGUCUACCUUGUAUUGCACAAGUGAUCUUAUUGUUGGUUAACUCAGUGGCCUAGAGUGCACAGAGUCCCUGGGUUCAAUCUCCAGCACCUACCUUGUCAGCCUGGUUUGGUGGUGCAUGCCUGUGAUCACAAUACUGAGGUGGAAGCAAGAAAAUCAGAGUUCAAAGUCAUUCUUGGCUGCUUGGGCGUUUAGUGGUCCGCUGGAGAUGCAUGGGGGUGGGGCACAAAACUUACACAUGUCUGCAUGUGAAUUGGAACAGAGCGAGUGCUUUAGGACCCAGCCUCUGAUGAAGUAUUUUCAAACACAGUAAGUUAACUGUAGCUCAAUCCAGUGGCCAGACCUCGGUAGUCUAACCUUAGAAUUUGAAAUAUGGCAUAGUCAACAACUGAUUCAGAGAAACUGAACAGACUAAGGAUCAUGUGAUCUGACUGAUAGACUAUCAAUUUUUUAGAGUCACAUUAGCAUUAAGUCACUUUUUUUUAAAAAAGGACUGACUUAUAGUCAUCUCUUCAUUUGGGUUGAACAUUCAACCUCUAACACUUGAGGCUGUUGUUACAUACAUAAUGCUGUCUGUAGCAUUCAUAGCAAAACAGGGUACCUUUAUUUUCUCCCAACAGCUUUUGAAUUUGAAAAAGCAACUUUCUUUUUAGUAAGCAUUAGUGUAUCGAAUUAGAAUAUUCUCUUGAGGGCUGGCGAGAUGGCUCAGUGGGUAAGAGCAUCGACUGCUCUUCCAAAGGUCCUGAGUUCAAGUCCCAGCAGCCACAUGGUGGCUCACAACCACCGGUAAUGAGAUCUGACGCCCUCUUCUGGUGCAUCUGAAGACAGCUAUAGUGUACUUGUGUAUAAUAAUAAGUAAAUCUUUUAAAAUAUAUAUUCUUUCUUGAGUUGAAAGGUGAGAAUUGAAAGGACUCGUGAUUGUUAAAAAAAACAUGAAGCUUGAGUUUCAGGACAGCCAGGGGCUAUACAGAGAAACCGUCUCGAAAAACC
rnacentral:lncRNA from 1 species